CGCAUCUUGCGCUCCUUGGUAUUCCGAGGAGCAUGCCUGUUUGAGUGUCAUUAAAUUCUCACCUUUUGCUGGCUUUGCUUUUAUAAGGCUUGACACAAAAGUGUGGAUGUGGAGGAUUAUCUUUGCAGGUUCUUUUGAGAGCCAGCUCCUCUGAAAAGCAUUAGUAGCGCCCUCUGGUGGCUGACUUUUGGCAUGAUAACUAUCACUGUCAUCAGUUGCCACACAUUUAUGUUGGCAAUGCUGCUUAUAACUGUCUACAUAGACAAGUAAAUGACAAAUUUGGCCUCAAAUCAGGUAGGACUACCCGCUGAACUUAA
rnacentral:misc_RNA from 1 species